GACGAACGCUGGCGGCGUGCUUAACACAUGCAAGUCGAACGGUGAAAGCGGAGCUUGCUCCGCUGGAUCAGUGGCGAACGGGUGAGUAACACGUGGGCAACCUGCCCCUCACUUCGGGAUAACUCCGGGAAACCGGGGCUAAUACCGGAUAUGACCUCCUUGGGCAUCCUUGGAGGUGGAAAGUUUUUCGGUGAGGGAUGGGCCCGCGGCCUAUCAGCGUGUUGGUGAGGUAGUGGCUCACCAAGGCGACGACGGGUAGCCGGCCUGAGAGGGCGACCGGCCACACUGGGACGGAGACACGGCCCAGACUCCUACGGGAGGCAGCAGUGGGGAAUAGUGCGCAAUGGGCGAAAGACUGACGCAGCAACGCCGCGGGCGGGAUGACGGCCUUCGGGUUGUAAACCGCUUUCAGCAGGGAAGAAGCCGCAAGGUGACGGUACCUGCAGAAGAAGCACCGGCUAACUACGUGCCAGCAGCCGCCGUAA
rnacentral:rRNA from 1 species